AACCAACACUUUGAAGCACUUUCCUUUGAUCACUUGUAGCUCAAUGGAGACACACAUUUAUGAUCAGGUCCCCCAGUUUCAGACACACUUGCACAAGCACACAGAUGACCAAUAUCUCACAGUGGUUUAACACAGUUCUGUCUGGGCUAAAGUACAGACAUCGAACGCUAUGACAGCGGAGUGUGCAGAUGAUCUCAUUACUGUCUAAAAAUGGAUAACAAAACCGAAGGAGUGCUGAAUCAUUGACAAAUACAGAGUAACAGAAUGACCUGCUUGUAUUUACCUUCAUUGAAGGAGUGGUCAGUGUGGGUAUAGCCAUGAGGCAAAAAAGACAGCUGAAGCUGAAGAGUGUGGUGAGAACAUGGUGCCGCCGCCGCCAGCAGGUUUCCAAGCAGGGAUUCGGGUAGCAGGAAGGCUUUGGUAAGCCGUCCAACAUCCAGUCCCAUUUUGUGAAUGCCAAUAAAAAAAUAGCUAGGUGUCCAUGUGUAAUUUGUGUGGAACAAUAUUGCACAAGAAGCUUAAUAGAUUUAGAAAAACAAUAACAAAAAAAAAAUAAAAACUUGAAGAACAAAAGAUAAAUGUCCUUUUUUUUCCAAAGUUUACUCGCCCUGCUCAGUGGUGUACAGCGUUAAGAGGCCAGCAUUCGGACUCCAGAGUUUAACGACCCUAGUUCGAGUCUCUGAUAGUAGUCCGUCUGCUAGAGCAGGGUAGGCCCACAGUGAAAGACGAAGCUCAAGCCUGCCUCCAUUU